UACGAAGGGGGCUAGCGUUGUUCGGAUUUACUGGGCGUAAAGCGCACGUAGGCGGAUCUUUAAGUCAGAGGUGAAAUCCCAAGGCCAUCAUCGAUGACUGCCUUUGAUACUGGGGAUCUCGAGUUCGGGAGAGGUGGAGUGGAACUGCGAGUGUAGAGGUGAAAUUCGUAGAUAUUCGCAAGAACACCAGUGGCGAAGGCGGCUCACUGGCCCGAUACUGACGCUGAGGUGCGAAAGCGAUGG
rnacentral:rRNA from 1 species